GAUUUACCUGGGCCUCUUGGCCCCGCCUUCCCGGCAGGUGAACUGAGCAGGAAGUCAGUGUCUGUCCCCCCUCCCCCCCGCACCGGUUUCUCUCGGCAUCCUUGCGGGGCAGGCGAUUGGCUGGCGGCGUGAGGAAGAGAGCACCUGCUUGGCAUGCAGAAGGCUCCGGGUUCAAGCCCCCAAGUAGCAUCUCCAGGUUGGACUGGGAGAGAUUCCCGCCUGGAACUGUGGAGAGGCGCUGCCAGCCAGUGUAAGCAACUUAGAUGGACCAGUGGGAAGCAGAGGUCACCGGACCGUCAUGGCUGGGAGUCCUGGAAGACCUACUCUCUGCAUUGCAAAUAUUUUCCACCUGGCCUGGGAGGGCAGGGCCCUGACUCCAGCUACAAAAGCUGAGGCUGCUGAACAGAAUCUUGGGAUGAGGAGCAAUUCUCAUCAGAAAGGAACGCUGAAAAGAAAAUGCCUCUGUGCUCUCCCAGUUUACCUGAGCACUGGUGACAUCAGGAGCGAGGAACUGAGAGUCUUUAAGCAGCUCACAAAUCUCAGCACGAGUUCCCUCUCCAUUAGGAAGACGGGCAGCAGCAUCCCUAACUGAGACAGCAAAAAAGAUCAAAGCAUCGUGAAGACCUCAACUGACACAAAGACUGAAGUAACACUUGAACCAUUCAGGUUCCACUCACUGUGUGGGUUUCUAACUUUAACUUUGGGCUUUAUACCAAUUGAACACUUGCUUUAGAUAGCAGUCCCACACCCUGAAGAAAUCCUCAAGGUCAUUGGCUACUUAUAACUUAGAAAAGCAGCUAGAUUUAAGAAUAAAUCUGAGCUUCCUUGCUGUUCAUCUUCUGCCAGUGUUCUCAUUUCAUCUUGGGCUACAGCCCCAAACCCUGCAGUAUGGCUCUCUACCAGUCCAAUAAGAAUGUCUCCUGUUUCUGUUUCUCUUCCUCUCUCUCUCAUUCUUCCACAUUUAUUUAUUUAUUUAUAUUUAUAUUUAUAAUAAUAAUACCCCACCCAUCUAGCUGGGUUUCCCCAGCCACUAUGGGCGGCUUACAGUACAUAUAAAAACAUAGUAAAACAUCAAACAUUAAAAACUUCCUGAUAUAGGGCUGCCUUCAGAGGUCUUCUAAAAGUUGUGUAGUUCUUUAUCUCCUUGACAUCUGAUGGGAGGGCACACACACUGUGUGUAAUCGUUCCCUCAAAUACAGUGGUUUAAGUACACAAUUGGUUCCGGAAGUCUGUACUUAAACUGAAGCGUACUUAUCCUGAAGCGAACUUUCCCAUUGAAAGUAAUGGAAAGUGGAUUAAUCUGUUCUAGAUGGGUCCGUGGAGUACUCAAACUGAAGCGUACUUAACCCGAAGUAUGAGUGUAAUUGGUUCUGGAAGUCCGUACUUAACCUGAAGUGAACUUUCCCAUUGAAAGUAAUGGAAAGUGGAUUAAUCCAUUCCAGACGGGUCCGCGGAGUAUUUAAACUGAAAGUACUCAAACCGAAGUGUACUUAAACGGAGGUAUGACUGUAGACUGAAAUGUUUCUACCUAUUUUAAGCAAGUUUAACAAACUUUUAUUACUUGCAUGCUUUCCAAGGACAUGCUUAUUCCACACGACAGGUUGUUCCUCCCUCUGUUCCUUUCCUGUGUUAUGCUGUAACUCGGUCCCUUGUUAAUCCUGGCUACAGAAAUUCCUCAUGGACUGUGCUUCCUAGAUGGAACAACCAGGCUGAACCCCUGGCAUCUCCCAUUCCAAAAAGGCAGCAGGAGAGGGGACAGGCCUCCAAGAAGCCACUGGCAUUCAAAGUAGGCAAUACCAGGUUACAGGGACAAAUGUUCUGACCUGGUAUAAGGGAGCUUCGUAUCUUCAGCCUCUUCACUGCAAUCUUUUUCUCUAAACCAUGAAGCUGCCCUAUGCAGUGUCAGAACAUAAGAAGAGCCCUGCUGGGUCAGACCAAAGGCCUAUCUAGCAUUCUGUUCUCAGUGUCCAGAUGCCUAUGAGAAGCACAAUGCAACACAUGAGCGCAACAAUAUCCUUCUGCUCACAUUCCCCAGCACCUGGCAGUCAGAGGCAUCUUGCCCAAUACUGGGGAUAUAUAUAGUCAUCGUGAUUAGCAGCACCCACUGAACAUGGUGGCGAUGUCUUAAUUACCUCCAGUAUCAGAGGAUCACAAGAAACAGAGUGCUAUUACCUGUCUUGGUCACUAUUGCCAGCAGUGGCCACAAAGGUCUUGGGUGGAAGUCUUCCUAGUCCUACUUGCAAGGGUCUUUUAAAUGGAAACACCAUUAAUUGAACCUGGGACCUUCCUUUAUUUAGGAUAGUUUUUCCCCCUCUUCAGUGUCUAAUUCUCAAGGUGACUAACAUAACAGUUUAUCAUUGUGAACAAUUAAAGCUUGACCCCGCUGCACUGCUGUGUUUCCUCUCUUCUUACAAUCUAUUGUCACUGCGAACCUAAAUAAGACUGUAACAUGUUGAAAUCUCUCUCUCUCUCUCUCUCUCUCUCACACACACACACACACACACACAGAGAGAGAGAGAGAGAGAGAGAGAGAGAGAGAGAGAGAGAGAGAGAGAG